rnacentral:rRNA from 1 species
UACGGAGGGUGCGAGCGUUGUUCGGAAUUACUGGGCGUAAAGCGCGUGCAGGCGGCCGACUAAGUCCGGUGUGAAAGCCCGGGACUCACCCCCGGAAGUGCGCUGGAAACUGGUUGGCUAGAGUACGGGAGAGGGAAGUGGAAUUCCUGGUGUAGCGGUGAAAUGCGUAGAUAUCAGGAGGAACACCGGCGGCGAAGGCGGCUUCCUGGACCGAUACUGACGCUGAGACGCGAAAGCGUGGGGAGCAAACAGG